AAGGCUUUAGCUUAAUGAAAGUAUUUGUUUUGCAUACAAAAGAUGUGGGUUAAUGUCCUGCAAGUCUUA
rnacentral:tRNA from 1 species